rnacentral:rRNA from 1 species
GAUGAACGCUGGCGGCGUGCCUAAUACAUGCAAGUCGAGCGAACAGACGAGGAGCUUGCUCCUCUGACGUUAGCGGCGGACGGGUGAGUAACACGUGGAGAACCUACCUAUAAGACUGGGAUAACUUCGUGAAACCGGAGCUAAUACCGGAUAAUAUAUUGAACCUCAUGGUUCAAUAGUGAAAGACGGUUUUGCUGUCACUUAUAGAUUGAUCCGCGCCGCAUUAGCUAGUUGGUAAGGUAACGGCUUACCAAGGCGACGAUGCGUAGCCGACCUGAGAGGGUGAUCGGCCACACUGGAACUGAGAGACGGUCCAGACUCCUACGGGAGGCAGCAGUAGGGAAUCUUCCGCAAUGGGGGAGAGCCUGACGGAGCACAGCCGCGUGAGUGAUGAAGGUCUUCGGAUCGUAAAACUCUGUUAUUAGGGAAGAACAAAUGUGUAAGUAACUAUGCACGUCUUGACGGUACCUAAUCAGAAAGCCACGGCUAACUACGUG